UACGAACCGUCCAAACGUUGUUCGGAAUUACUGGGUUUAAAGGGUACGUAGGCGGCGCUGUUAGUCGGGUGUGAAAGCCCUCGGCUCAACCGAGGAAUUGCGCCCGAUACUGCAGUGCUUGAGGGAGACAGAGGUAAGCGGAACUGAUGGUGGAGCGGUGAAAUGCGUUGAUAUCAGCAGGAACACCGGUGGCGAAAGCGGCUUACUGGGUCUCUUCUGACGCUGAGGUACGAAAGCCAGGGGAGCGAAGGGG
rnacentral:rRNA from 1 species